AUGGCAAAAGGCCUGAGGGUGAAUCUGGGCGAGCUGGUUGAGUCCAUGCGUUUGUGCUUCCUCUCAGUCCACUUUCGCUUACGAUGGGGCGACUCUUGUCCAUCGUCACCUCACCGGGAAACUUUUCCUGCCGGGCCAGUUAAUGGUCCCCUGUACCAUCCCCAUCCUGAGUGACUACUAAGCAGCCGCAGCGACUCGGGGUUGCUCCGUGACCACGUUACUCAGUUAACCUUCUUGUUCCCUGGAGAGGCGGAGCUGAAUGGCCCGGACGGGGUUUCUCCAUGUUUCCCAGGCUGGUCUCAAACUCCUGGACUCAAGCAAUCUGCCCACCUUGCCUCCCAAAAUGCUCCUCCAAAAAAGGAGUGUGCCGCCACACCCAGCCUGAGCAACUUUUGUUUUUAAGGUGUCAGCCAUCAGACCCCAAGUCUCCAGCUGUGUUGAGUUAUCUGCAGGCCCUGAUUGUGUGUGCCAAGGUGCAAAGAAAUAAAUUCUGUCAACAAUCAAGUGACUUUGGAAGAGGUUCCUGAGCCUCAGAUGAGACCCCAGCCUGGCCAACACUUUGAAGCCUUGUGAGAAUGACCAUCCAACUAAGCCUUGCCCUGACUCCUGACCCACGGAAACUGUGCGAUAAUAAAUGUAUAUUGUUUUAAGCUAUGACGUUUGGGAUAAUUUCUUACAUCAUAGACAACUAUUGCAGCCAUUUGUUAUUCUUUUAAAAAUUAAUAUGAACUAUUUCAAAUAUAUAGAAAGUAGUAAAGAAUAGUAUAAAUAGUAUCAUGUAUCCAGUAUGAAGAAAUAGGGUAUUACAAGUAAUGUUGAAAGUUGUUGUAUAGCCUUUUCUAAUUCUGCUUUCCUUAAUUCUUCCUGAGAUGCAACCCACUGUAAUGAAGGUGUUGAUUAGCAUUUAUGUGCAUUUUUAGAACAGAAAUUCGCUAUAUGUAUGUAUGUCUAAAAGCAACAUAUAAUAUCAUUUAUUUCUGUUUGAUUUCUCCUCUAUUAGAAAUAGAUUAAAAUGCUUUCAUUAUCAUUGUUUCCUGUUAAUUUUUUUUGUAUCAUCGUCCAGUUUUACAUUAUGAAUUUUAACAUUUUGUUAGUUGCUGUGACAGAGACAUUUAAUAUUACUGAAUAAGCAUGUGCGUCAUCACAUCUGUCAGCUCCCUAGCAGUUGGGUCAUGCCAUGUGACAAGUUCUGGCCAACUGGUUGGCAGUUGGCAACCAAGGAACUGUAUGUUGAGAUGAUUGAGCCACAAGUUUGAAACUGCCAGGACUUCUGAGUCACCACAUGGAAAACUGCUCGUCUGCAGAGUUAUAAAAUUUGGCUAGGACUUCAUGUGAGUGAGAAAUAAAGCCUUUGUUUGUGAAGCCAGUAUAACUUAUUAUGUAGCAUAGCCUACAAUAUUCUGUCUGAUGUAGAAAAAUACAAGUUCAUGUUAUUUUAUGCUGAUGUUAUUGUGUUCCUUUAAUAAUUUAUCCUUGUUAAACCCUUUGCCUCAUAUUUUACUUGAUAAUUUUUGAUCAUCCCAUUAUUUUCAACCUUCGUUUUAUUUAAGACUUGUAACUAGGCUAUAGCUGGGUGUAUCUUAAAAAUCAAAUCUAAUAGUUUUUUUCUUCUUUUAGGUAUUUUAAUCCAUUUACAUUUUUGGAAUUACUAAUAGAUUUACUUAGACUUGUUUCUGUGGUUUUAUUAUUAUCAAGAUUUUAGUUCCAAUUUUUAAAAAACAACCAUCAUUAGCUGUCAUUUGAUAUUAUAGUCAGUAGUUGGUACAAUUUGUUAGCUUAUUGUUAAAAAAUUGUUUUCUGUAUUUAGUGUUGUUUUAUUCCAGCCCCUUAUUUAAAAGGCUUUUCCCUCUGAGCUCAUCAUUGAUCUGGAUGAGGUGCAUACUCUUUUAACAGUGUUUAUUACAUGUGUAUGCGAAGGUCUGUAGAUAAUACGCUCCAUUAAACUCUUUUGCAUAUGAAAAUGUCUUUAUUUCGCCUUUACCUUUGAAUGAUGUGUAUAGCAUUCAGUUAUUUUUCUAAAAUGUUUUGCUGAUAUUACUUUACAAACUUCUGGUAGCUAUAAUUGCUGUGGAUAAGUCAGCUUUUAGCUGAACUGUCAUUCCUUUGUAGAUAGUCUUUAACUUAUUCUGAGGUUUUUCUUUAUCAGGAAGUUCUGAAAUUUCACUAUAAUACAUCUAUUUUUUAACAUCAUAUUUGAAUUUAAUUUUUGAUCUGGGAGUUUCAGUUUUUAAUUCUUGAAUAUUCUUAAUCAUUGCCUCUUCACCAUUCCUUCCGUUUUUUUUUUUUUUUUUCUGAACCUCUCACUAAACACACCUGAGGUCACUCUCAAAUCUGUUUUUCUUGUUCCUUGUUUGCUCUUUAUUUUCAUUAUCUUUCCAAGUUCUGGGUGAAUUCCCCACUACUAAUUGUCUCUUUGUCUGAGUUUAUUUUUAAGUUUGAUUGCAUUUUUUAUUUCAAUGACUAUAUUUCAACUUUGAAAGCAUUUAAUUAAUUCUUUUUCAUAUCUAUUUGGUUGUUUCAGCUGUAUCUUAUUUUGUUUUAUAAUUUGUUAUUUUUGUAUGAGAUUAUUUCUGUGUUAAUCUCUGUGAAUGCAUUGUUUCACAGAUAAAGGUUCUAAGAAUUUAUUUUCCUUGCAAUAAUUUAUUUUGCAAUUGUGGAUUUUGUUUUCUAUUUUCCUUAAAUAUUUCUUCAUAUGUUUUAGAAUAUUUUGAGGUUUUUUUUUUGAGAUAGAAAGUAUUUGUUCCUCUUUCUCUUUUUAAAAUUCAUUGAAGUUCACCUAACAAAAUCAACCAUUUUAACGUGAGCAAUCCAGUGGUAUUUAGUACAUUCACCAUGUUUUAUAAUCACCACCUCCAUCUAGUUAUAUAACAUUUCCACCUCUCCAAAAGAUAAUCUCAUAUCCAUUAAGCAUUUUAUCCCCGUUUCCUCUCCUCUGAGUCCCUGACAAUCAUCAGUUUGCAUUCUGUCUCUAUACAUACAGCUAUUCUGAAUAUUUCAUGCAAACAAAGGCAUUACAAAAUGUGACCUUUUGUGUCUGGCUUCUUUCACUUAGCAUUAUGUUUUUGAGGUUCAUCAACGUUAUAGUAUGUA
rnacentral:lncRNA from 1 species